rnacentral:rRNA from 1 species
GACGAACGCUGGCGGCGUGCUUAACACAUGCAAGUCGAACGGUGAAGCGCCUUCCUUUUUGGUGGGUGUGGAUGAGUGGCGAACGGGUGAGUAACACGUGAGUAACCUGCCCCCUUCUUCUGGAUAACCGCAUGAAAGUGUGGCUAAUACGGGAUAUUCUGGGUCUGUCGCAUGAUGGGUCUGGGAAAGAUAUUGUUUCGGUGGGGGAUGGGCUCGCGGCCUAUCAGCUUGUUGGUGGGGUGAUGGCCUACCAAGGCGGUGACGGGUAGCCGGCCUGAGAGGGUGGACGGUCACACUGGGACUGAGACACGGCCCAGACUCCUACGGGAGGCAGCAGUGGGGAAUAUUGCACAAUGGGCGCAAGCCUGAUGCAGCGACGCCGCGUGAGGGAUGGAGGCCUUCGGGUUGUGAACCUCUUUCGCAAGUGAAGCAGGACUGCCUCGUUUGUGGGUGGGUUGACGGUAGCUGGAUAAGAAGCGCCGGCUAACUACGUG